CUGAAGCCUGAACUCGGCAGGCCCGAAGGGAGGCAGGAAGCCAGGAAGGAGGCUAGCAGAGUUCCCUGCAGGAGACCCACUGCCCAAACCAUCCAGUACAGCCUUUGCCGGGAGAUGUCGAGGACAUGUACAUGAACAAACAGGAGUGGGCUAGAUGGGAGGCAGGAACCUACCUGCUUCCUCCCACACAACUGGGACCUCCAUUUGAUUCUGCUACCCACGGGUUCACAUGAGCGGCAUGGCGGCAAGCCUAGCAGCGACUGGGAGCAGGGAUGCAAGCUUGGGCCACCAGGCUGCCAUACAAGUUGUAUUUCUGAAUUCCACUGAAGGCUGCAAACUCUCCAGGCUUUUAGCCCAAGGGCAGGCAAGUGCCUUGGACAGAAGGCAGACAAGCCAGUCAGCAGGCUGGAGGCAGAAGUCUGGAGGCUGCAAUCAGACAGGUAAAGCCAAAGGCUGAAGGCUGGUAGUCUGGUAGCAUAGAGGGUGGCCUGGUAAGAUCCCUCAGCAAGAGUUAUCCAAACUGAGGAAAGGCAGCAGCUGUGUGGGCCUUAUAUCAACCAGUGGCCCUGGACUGGCUCUUUGGUGUCACCACUUCUCAGGAGGAUUAUGGGCUGUGAAGUAAAUGUGUUGCUGAAACGAGCUGUUAUCCCCUCUCUUGACCAGCUGUCCUGAUAAUGCAGGGAGCCAAUGUCUGAUCCUCAGGGCUCCUGGUUUAGGCCUGGCAGGAUCUUACAAUGUAGAAAUGAGCUUACAACUAAACUGAGCUAAGCUUAUUAUUAUGCAAAGCGAUGUUCAUUACAGAUGCAUUUGUGACUGUAACACAGCUGACAUUAGGUAUCUCGGAUUUAAAAGCAUUCUAUGUUGUGAUUUCUUGGUGCUUUACAACCUUGGUAGGAUGUAAGUUCACCAAGAACACACAUAUUAGCCCUAUUCACAUGUUAUAUUCAACACUCAAGAGACCUGGCACACAACCACCUACCAGCUGCAUGAGCACGCCAAGUUCACACUCUGGUGCAACUCACAUCUGCAAGUAAUAGAACGGUCCAUUUUCUGGCAAUAAUGGGCACACAACCACAUUUACAGCCUUAACCAACUGAUAAUAGCAUAGUAAAUGUCCCUUUCUUUAUCUGAAUUGCAAACAAAUUAACACUUUAACUUGUUUUAAGCAAUGGCAGAAGGAUAUAACUAAGUUUGUUUGGCAGGGGAAAAGACCAAGAAUUAAUUUUAAGAAUCUAACAGAUGCAAAGGAAAGAGGUGGUCUUACCUUGCCAGACUUAAGGUUGUAUUUUGAUGCUGUUUGUUUGACAUGGUUAAAAGAAUGGAUAACGUUAAGAAACCCUAGAAUUCUUGAUUUAGAAGGAUUUGACAGAAGGUUUGGAUGGCAUGCGUAUUUGUGGUAUGAAAAAAGUAAAAUACAUAAAGAUUUUUUGAACCACUAUGUGAGAAGGAGUUUAGUGAGGGUGUGGUUAAAAUACAAAAAUUGGUUUGAACCUAAAACUCCAUUAUGGGUAUCUCCGAUUGAAGCAUUAUCACGUAAAGAAGUAAAUAUGCAAAUGUGCUGGGGUACCUAUAGGGAUUUGUUACAUUUUCAGGAAAAGGAUUGUAAGUUAAAAAGCUUAACUGAAAUACAAGAUUUGGUUAGAGAUUGGUUUCAGUAUCAUCAGUUAAAUGAGAUGUAUAAGAAGGACCUUAAUGUCGGAUUUGAGGACCAGACUUCAAAUUUCGAGAAGGAAUUAUGUCAAAAUGAUGAAAAAUUAGUAUCUAAAAUGUAUAAACUGUUGCUUAGGGGUGUGUCCGAACCGGUCCGGCGGCCAUUCUAAAGAAUGGCCGAACUGCCGGACCGGGUCGGCCCUGGCUGGUCCGGGUCC